rnacentral:rRNA from 1 species
AGUGAACGCUGGCGGUAGGCCUAACACAUGCCAGUCGAACGGCAGCACAGUAAGAGCUUGCUCUUACGGGUGGCGAGUGGCGGACGGGUGAGGAAUACAUCGGAAUCUACUUUUUCGUGGGGGAUAACGUAGGGAAACUUACGCUAAUACCACAUACGACCUACGGGUGAAAGCAGGGGAUCUUCGGACCUUGCGCGAUUGAAUGAGCCGAUGUCGGAUUAGCUAGUUGGCGGGGUAAAGGCCCACCAAGGCGACGAUCCGUAGCUGGUCUGAGAGGAUGAUCAGCCACACUGGAACUGAGACACGGUCCAGACUCCUACGGGAGGCAGCAGUGGGGAAUAUUGGACAAUGGGCGCAAGCCUGAUCCAGCCAUACCGCGUGGGUGAAGAAGGCCUUCGGGUUGUAAAGCCCUUUUGUUGGGAAAGAAAAGCAGCAGGUUAAUACCCCGCUGUUCUGACGGUACCCAAAGAAUAAGCACCGGCUAACUUCGUG